GCGGUAAUUCCAGCUCUGUAAGCGUAUACCAAAGUUGUUGCAGUUAAAACGCUCGUAGUCGGAUUUUGGCGUGGUGCUUCUGAGACCCCUGCUUGGGUGUUGACGGUAGUCCCGCCUUUGUGGAUGAGGGCGUGGUGGUGCUUUGUUGCAUUGCUGCGUUUUCGCCACUGUUUACUGUGAAAAAAUUAGAGUGUUCAAAGCGAGCGAUUGCCAUGAAUAUAUUAGCAUGGAAUAAUAGAAUAGGACCUGAUCCUGUUUUGUUGGUUUGUCAGUAUUAGGUAAUGAUUAAGAGGGACGGUCGGGGGCAUUUGUAUUCCAGGGUUAGAGGUGAAAUUCUGGAUU
rnacentral:rRNA from 1 species